GACGAACGCUGGCGGCGUGCUUAACACAUGCAAGUCGAACGGAAAGGCCCUGCUUUUGUGGGGUGCUCGAGUGGCGAACGGGUGAGUAACACGUGAGUAACCUGCCCUUGACUUUGGGAUAACUUCAGGAAACUGGGGCUAAUACCGGAUAGGAGCUCCUGCUGCAUGGUGGGGGUUGGAAAGUUUCGGCGGUUGAGGAUGGACUCGCGGCUUAUCAGCUUGUUGGUGGGGUAGUGGCUUACCAAGGCUUUGACGGGUAGCUGGCCUGAGAGGGUGACCGGCCACAUUGGGACUGAGAUACGGCCCAGACUCCUACGGGAGGCAGCAGUGGGGAAUAUUGCACAAUGGGCGGAAGCCUGAUGCAGCAACGCCGCGUGCGGGAUGACGGCCUUCGGGUUGUAAACCGCUUUCGCCUGUGACGAAGCGUGAGUGACGGUAAUGGGUAAAGAAGCACCGGCUAACUACGUG
rnacentral:rRNA from 1 species